GCCUUGGUGGCUUAGUGGUCAAAGCACUCGCAAGGUCGUGGGUUCAAUCCCAGCCGAGGCA
rnacentral:tRNA from 1 species